rnacentral:rRNA from 1 species
AGAGUUUGAUCCUGGCUCAGGACGAACGCUGGCGGCGUGCCUAAUACAUGCAAGUAGAACGCUGAAGUCUGGUGCUUGCACCGGAUGGAUGAGUUGCGAACGGGUGAGUAACGCGUAGGUAACCUACCUCAUAGCGGGGGAUAACUAUUGGAAACGAUAGCUAAUACCGCAUAACAGUCUUUAACUCAUGUUAGAGGCUUGAAAGGGGCAAUUGCUUCACUAUGAGAUGGACCUGCGUUGUAUUAGCUAGUUGGUGAGGUAACGGCUCACCAAGGCGACGAUACAUAGCCGACCUGAGAGGGUGAUCGGCCACACUGGGACUGAGACACGGCCCAGACUCCUACGGGAGGCAGCAGUAGGGAAUCUUCGGCAAUGGGGGCAACCCUGACCGAGCAACGCCGCGUGAGUGAAGAAGGUUUUCGGAUCGUAAAGCUCUGUUGUAAGAGAAGAACGUGUGUGAGAGUGGAAAGUUCACACAGUGACGGUAUCUUACCAGAAAGGGACGGCUAACUACGUGCCAGCAGCCGCGGUAAUACGUAGGUCCCGAGCGUUGUCCGGAUUUAUUGGGCGUAAAGCGAGCGCAGGCGGUUUGAUAAGUCUGAAGUUAAAGGCUGUGGCUCAACCAUAGUACGCUUUGGAAACUGUCAAACUUGAGUGCAGAAGGGGAGAGUGGAAUUCCAUGUGUAGCGGUGAAAUGCGUAGAUAUAUGGAGGAACACCGGUGGCGAAAGCGGCUCUCUGGUCUGUAACUGACGCUGAGGCUCGAAAGCGUGGGUAGCGAACAGGAUUAGAUACCCUGGUAGUCCACGCCGUAAACGAUGAGUGCUAGGUGUUAGGCCCUUUCCGGGGCUUAGUGCCGCAGCU